rnacentral:rRNA from 1 species
GACGUAGGUGGCGAGCGUUAUCCGGAAUUAUUGGGCGUAAAGGGUGCGUAGGCGGCAUGAUAAGUUAUUGGCGGCAAAUCGAGGCUCAACCUCGUGGAAACUGAUAAUACUGUCUUGCUUGAGUGCAGAAGAGGUUAACGGAACUCCAUGUGGAGCGGUAAAAUGUGUAGAUAUAUGGAAGAACAUCAAUAACGGCGAAGGCAGUUAACUAGUCUGUUACUGACGUUGAGGCACGAAAGCGUGGGGAGCAAAAAGG